AGAAGCAGUGACGCAUUAGGGGAAGGAGAAGAGAAAUUCACCGAAACCCUUACGGUGAUUUCAAAAUGCCGUAGCUCCUCUGUCCGAACUCCGAUCGCCGCACCGUUUGUGACCACGCGUCCACCGCGUCGAGCUCUACAUUUCUACCGGAACAAUUUCAUAGAUACAGGUCGAGAGGCAUCUCGUUAGGCGUCUGGACUCUUGAAGCAGAAUGGUUACAGGGUUAUAUAUAUAUAUAUAACCCUACCUCUCCAUAUACACGUACUUGAUUUUCUCUCCACAUAACUUGUUCUUUUGAUCCUCAUAGAGGUUUAUGGAGAGGUAGGAUUGUGUAUAUGUACUUUUGGGUUUUGGAUAUGUAUAUAUAUGUAUAUAUGUGUGUAUAUUCUCCGGCCAGUCUUGAUUUUGCAGGCUGAGUCAAGAGCUCGUUAUUUUGUAUCAUUGACUCUCUAUUCCUGUUUUGGGUUACUUUACACUUGACAGCUGUAGCUUUCUUAGCACGCAAGUUAA